rnacentral:rRNA from 1 species
UUAGAGUUUGAUCCUGGCUCAGGAUGAACGCUAGCGGCAGGCUUAACACAUGCAAGUCGAGGGGCAGCAUGUCCAGCAAUGGAUGAUGGCGACCGGCGGAAGGGUGCGUAACGCGUGAGCAACAUGCCCUAUACAGGGAGAUACACCAGGGAAACUUGGUCUAAUAUCCCAUAGCAUUCAUUGAAGGCAUCUUUAAUGAAUUAAAGCUUCGGUGGUAUAGGAUUGGCUCGCGUGACAUUAGCCAGAUGGUGAGGUAACGGCUCACCAUAGCAAUGAUGUCUAGGGGUUUUGAGAGGAAGGCCCCCCACACUGGGACUGAGACACGGCCCAGACUCCUACGGGAGGCAGCAGUGAGGAAUAUUGGACAAUGGAUGGAAAUCUGAUCCAGCCAUGCCGCGUGCAGGAAGACGGCCUUAUGGGUUGUAAACUGCUUUUAUACGGGAGCAAUAAGGGUUACGAGUAAUCCGAUGAGAGUACUGUAUGAAUAAGGAUCGGCUAACUCCGUGCCAGCAGCCGCGGUAAUACGGAGGAUCCGAGCGUUAUCCGGAUUUAUUGGGUUUAAAGGGUGCGUAGGCGGAAAUGUAAGUCAGUGGUGAAGUCCUGCAGCUUAACUGUAACAGUGCCGUUGAUACUGUUUGGCUAGGAUUUGGUUGUAGUGUGCGGAAUGUGUGGUGUAGCGGUGAAAUGCUUAGAUAUCACACAGAACACCGAUUGCGGAGGCAGCACACUAAGUCAUUAUUGACGCUGAGGCACGAAAGUGUGGGGAGCAAACAGGAUUAGAUACCCUGGUAGUCCACGCCGUAAACGAUGAAUGCUAGGUGUAGGGGGUGAAUAUACCCCUGUGCCGGAGUUAACACAAUAAGCAUUCCACCUGGGGAGUACGGCCGCAAGGUUGAAACUCAAAGGAAUUGACGGGAGCCCGCACAAGCGGAGGAACAUGUGGUUUAAUUCGAUGAUACGCGAGGAACCUUACCCGGGUUUGAAUUGCUGAAUUUGCAUUUGGAGACAUUUGCUUCCCUUUUGGGUUUCAGUGAAGGUGCUGCAUGGUUGUCGUCAGCUCGUGCCGUGAGGUGUCGGCUUAGGUGCCAUAACGAGCGCAACCCUUGUCAUUAGUUGCCAUCAGGUCAAGCUGGGGACUUUAAUGAGACUGCCACCGUAAGGUGUGAGGAAGGGGGGGAGGACGUCAAAUCAGCACGGCCCUUAUGUCCGGGGGGACACACGUGUUACAAUGGGAGGUACAGAGGGCAGCUAUCCGGUGACGGAAUGCUAAUCUCCAAAACCUUUCUCAGUUCGGAUUGGAGUCUGCAACUCGACUCCAUGAAGGGGGAUUCGCUAGUAAUCGCGCAUCAGCCAUGGCGCGGGGAAUACGUUCCCGGGCCUUGCACACACCGCCCGUCA